rnacentral:rRNA from 1 species
GGUUAAGCGACUAAGCGUACACGGUGGAUGCCCUGGCAGUCAGAGGCGAUGAAGGACGUGCUAAUCUGCGAAAAGCGCCGGCGAGGUGAUAUGAACCUUUGACCCGGCGAUGUCCGAAUGGGGAAACCCAGUGUGAUUCGUCACACUAUCGUUAACUGAAUACAUAGGUUAACGAGGCGAACCGGGGGAACUGAAACAUCUAAGUACCCCGAGGAAAAGAAAUCAACCGAGAUUC